CAAAUUUUAAGAGAGCACACAAGUAUUUCUCGUCAAAUACUACCUUCGUCCUUAAUUAUAAGAUCAUGUUCGAUAAAAAUGUAUUAUUCAUUUACCUUGUUUUGACCGUGUUUUUUUAAUAAUAUAUAAAUAUAAAUAUUAGUAUAUAAGAUCUUGUUCAAUUUGUUUUAAUGAGUAUUUUCAAAAUAUUAAAAUUUUAUAAUUUUUACUAAUAUACAAUUAAAAAUAUUAGUGAUCAAAAGUAUGCAUUGACGUACGUGCAAUGGUCAAACAAAAUCUUACAAUUAGGGACGGAGAUAGUACAAUUCAACCUUAAAGAUAUUGGAUAAAAUUCGCCUUCGGAUCUGGAUCCAUUUCAGUCCAUUCUCUUCUUUUGUUUGUGUUGUCAUCAUGUCAACCAUCCAUUUAUAUUUUUUCUUUCUCUUAAAAAUUGUUACUUUUAUUAUGAGUCACUAAAUGAAGAACAACAGAGAUGGCAGAAUAUAAAGGGCAGUAGAGGAAUAUGCAGAAGAAGUUUAACCUGUGGAAACACCGCAACUGAGCAA
rnacentral:lncRNA from 1 species